rnacentral:rRNA from 1 species
AACGAACGCUGGCGGCGUGCCUAACACAUGCAAGUCGAACGAGACCUUCGGGUCUAGUGGCGCACGGGUGCGUAACGCGUGGGAAUCUGCCCUUGGGUUCGGAAUAACAGUUAGAAAUGACUGCUAAUACCGGAUAAUGUCUUCGGACCAAAGAUUUAUCGCCCAGGGAUGAGCCCGCGUAGGAUUAGCUAGUUGGUGAGGUAAAGGCUCACCAAGGCGACGAUCCUUAGCUGGUCUGAGAGGAUGAUCAGCCACACUGGGACUGAGACACGGCCCAGACUCCUACGGGAGGCAGCAGUGGGGGAAUAUUGGACAAUGGGCGAAAGCCUGAUCCAGCAAUGCCGCGUGAGUGAUGAAGGCCUUAGGGUUGUUAAAAGGCUCUUUUACCUAGGGAUGAUAAUGACAGUACCUGGAGAAUAAAGCUCCGGCUAACUCCGUGCCAGCAGCCGCGGU